UUCCAGAGAUGGAUUGGUGCCUUCGGGAACUGUGAGACAGGUGCUGCAUGGCUGUCGUCAGCUCGUGUUGUGAAAUGUUGGGUUAAGUCCCGCAACGAGCGCAACCCUUAUCCUUUGUUGCCAGCGGUCCGGCCGGGAACUCAAAGGAGACUGCCAGUGAUAAACUGGAGGAAGGUGGGGAUGACGUCAAGUCAUCAUGGCCCUUACGACCAGGGCUACACACGUGCUACAAUGGCGCAUACAAAGAGAAGCGACCUCGCGAGAGCAAGCGGACCUCAUAAAGUGCGUCGUAGUCCGGAUUGGAGUCUGCAACUCGACUCCAUGAAGUCGGAAUCGCUAGUAAUCGUGGAUCAGAAUGCCACGGUGAAUACGUUCCCGGGCCUUGUACACACCGCCCGUCACACCAUGGGAGUGGGUUGCAAAAGAAGUAGGUAGCUUAACCUUCGGGAGGGCGCUUACCACUUUGUGAUUCAUGACUGGGGUGAAGUCGUAACAAGGUAACCGUAGGGGAACCUGCGGUUGGA
rnacentral:rRNA from 2 species